UACGUAGGGUGCGAGCGUUGUCCGGAAUUAUUGGGCGUAAAGAGCUUGUAGGCGGUUUGUCGCGUCUGCCGUGAAAACCCGGGGCUCAACUCCGGGCCUGCAGCCGAUACGGGCAGACUAGAGUUCGGCAGGGGAGACUGGAAUUCCUGGUGUAGCGGUGAAAUGCGCAGAUAUCAGGAGGAACACCGGUGGCGAAGGCGGGUCUCUGGGCCGAUACUGACGCUGAGGAGCGAAAGCGUGGGGAGCAAACAGG
rnacentral:rRNA from 1 species